UACAGAGGGGGCAAGCGUUGUUCGGAAUUACUGGGCGUAAAGGGCGCGUAGGCGGCCCGCUAAGUCGAACGUGAAAUCCCCAGGCUUAACCUGGGAACUGCAUCCGAUACUGGAUGGCUUGAAUUCGGGAGAGGGAUGCAGAAUUCCAGGUGUAGCGGUGAAAUGCGUAGAUAUCUGGAGGAAUACCGGUGGCGAAGGCGGCAUCCUGGACCGACAUUGACGCUGAACGGCGAAAGCUAGGGGAGCAAACGGG
rnacentral:rRNA from 1 species